rnacentral:rRNA from 1 species
CAGCCGCCACGGUAAUACGGAGGGUGCAAGCGUUAAUCGGAAUUACUGGGCGUAAAGCGCACGCAGGCGGUUUGUUAAGUCAGAUGUGAUAUCCCCGGGCGUAACUUGGGAACUGCAUUUGAAACUGGCAAGCUAGAGUCUUGUAGAGGGGGGUAGAAUUCCAGGUGUAGCGGUGAAAUGCGUAGAGAUCUGGAGGAAUACCGGUGGCGAAGGCGGCCCCCUGGACAAAGACUGACGCUCAGGUGCGAAAGCGUGGGGAGCAAACAGGAUUAGAUACCCCAGUAGUCCCUGUCUCUUAUAC